GUCGAGAUAGCUCAGCAGGUAGAGCGGCGCCCUGUUAAGGCGAUGGUCGGAGGUUCGAGCCCUCCUCUCGGCG
rnacentral:tRNA from 1 species